rnacentral:rRNA from 1 species
ACCCGGAGAACUGAAACAUCUUAGUACCCGGAGGAAGAGAAAGAAAAUUCGAUUCCCUUAGUAGCGGCGAGCGAAACGGGAAGAGCCCAAACCAAAAAGCUUGCUUGUUGGGGUUGUAGGACACUCUAUACGGAGUUACAAAGGACGACAUUAGACGAAUCAUCUGGAAAGAUGAAUCAAAGAAGGUAAUAAUCCUGUAGUCGAAAAUGUUGUCUCUCUUGAGUGGAUCCUGAGUACGACGGAGCACGUGAAAUUCCGUCGGAAUCUGGGAGGACCAUCUCCUAAGGCUAAAUACUCUCUAGUGACCGAUAGUGAACCAGUACCGUGAGGGAAAGGUGAAAAGCACCCCGGAAGGAGAGUGAAAUAGAACCUGAAACCGUGUGCUUACAAGUAGUCAGAGCCCGUUAAUGGGUGAUGGCGUGCCUUUUGUAGAAUGAACCGGCGAGUUACGAUUUGAUGCAAGGUUAAGCAGUAAAUGUGGAGCCGUAGCGAAAGCGAGUCUGAAUAGGGCGUUUAGUAUUUGGUCGUAGACCCGAAACCAGGUGAUCUACCCUUGGUCAGGUUGAAGUUCAGGUAACACUGAAUGGAGGACCGAACCGACUUACGUUGAAAAGUGAGCGGAUGAACUGAGGGUAGCGGAGAAAUUCCAAUCGAACCUGGAGAUAGCUGGUUCUCUCCGAAAUAGCUUUAGGGCUAGCCUCAAGUGAUGAUUAUUGGAGGUAGAGCACUGUUUGGACGAGGGGCCCCUCUCGGGUUACCGAAUUCAGACAAACUCCGAAUGCCAAUUAAUUUAACUUGGGAGUCAGAACAUGGGUGAUAAGGUCCGUGUUCGAAAGGGAAACAGCCCAGACCACCAGCUAAGGUCCCAAAAUAUAUGUUAAGUGGAAAAGGAUGUGGCGUUGCCCAGACAACUAGGAUGUUGGCUUAGAAGCAGCCAUCAUUUAAAGAGUGCGUAAUAGCUCACUAGUCGAGUGACACUGCGCCGAAAAUGUACCGGGGCUAAACAUAUUACCGAAGCUGUGGAUUGUCCUUUGGACAAUGGUAGGAGAGCGUUCUAAGGGCGUUGAAGCAUGAUCGUAAGGACAUGUGGAGCGCUUAGAAGUGAGAAUGCCGGUGUGAGUAGCGAAAGACGGGUGAGAAUCCCGUCCACCGAUUGACUAAGGUUUCCAGAGGAAGGCUCGUCCGCUCUGGGUUAGUCGGGUCCUAAGCUGAGGCCGACAGGCGUAGGCGAUGGAUAACAGGUUGAUAUUCCUGUACCACCUAUAAUCGUUUUAAUCGAUGGGGGGACGCAGUAGGAUAGGCGAAGCGUGCGAUUGGAUUGCACGUCUAAGCAGUAAGGCUGAGUAUUAGGCAAAUCCGGUACUCGUUAAGGCUGAGCUGUGAUGGGGAGAAGACAUUGAGUCUUCGAGUCGUUGAUUUCACACUGCCGAGAAAAGCCUCUAGAUAGAAAAUAGGUGCCCGUACCGCAAACCGACACAGGUAGUCAAGAUGAGAAUUCUAAGGUGAGCGAGCGAACUCUCGUUAAGGAACUCGGCAAAAUGACCCCGUAACUUCGGGAGAAGGGGUGCUCUUUAGGGUUAACGCCCAGAAGAGCCGCAGUGAAUAGGCCCAAGCGACUGUUUAUCAAAAACACAGGUCUCUGCUAAACCGUAAGGUGAUGUAUAGGGGCUGACGCCUGCCCGGUGCUGGAAGGUUAAGAGGAGUGGUUAGCUUCUGCGAAGCUACGAAUCGAAGCCCCAGUAAACGGCGGCCGUAACUAUAACGGUCCUAAGGUAGCGAAAUUCCUUGUCGGGUAAGUUCCGACCCGCACGAAAGGCGUAACGAUUUGGGCACUGUCUCAACGAGAGACUCGGUGAAAUCAUAGUACCUGUGAAGAUGCAGGUUACCCGCGACAGGACGGAAAGACCCCGUGGAGCUUUACUGUAGCCUGAUAUUGAAAUUCGGCACAGCUUGUACAGGAUAGGUAGGAGCCUUUGAAACGUGAGCGCUAGCUUACGUGGAGGCGCUGGUGGGAUACUACCCUAGCUGUGUUGGCUUUCUAACCCGCACCACUUAUCGUGGUGGGAGACAGUGUCAGGCGGGCAGUUUGACUGGGGCGGUCGCCUCCUAAAAGGUAACGGAGGCGCUCAAAGGUUCCCUCAGAAUGGUUGGAAAUCAUUCAUAGAGUGUAAAGGCAUA